ACUCGAACUUGAAAGUAGGGAGACUGGUGUUGGGUACAAAAUACCCCAACAGUCGAAGUUCGCGUCAGGAGUGACCCUCCGGGGAUUCUGCCAACUUCUGACCUUCGGCGACAUCUUUCCGAACCUCUCUGGCGGUCGAGCCUCCGCAGCAUUCUCGAGUUCUGCCGAUGGAUAAACCCCCACCAGCGUCGACCAGAUUCUUCAUGACAGACGGACUCCUACGGGAGCCGG
rnacentral:lncRNA from 1 species